rnacentral:misc_RNA from 1 species
UUAUUUUUAUUAAUUUUUUCAUCAUUGUGAUGAGACAUUCAAAAUAAACAGUGUUUUUUUUUUUGAAAUCGACUGCAAAAGAAUUGCAAUCGACCAAUUGUGCACAUGUGGUUUGUAUGAUGAGAAUAAAACCCCAAAGGGAUUUUAAAGCAUUCAUUAAUGAUCCUUCCGCAGGUUCACCUACGGAAA